AGCAUUGUCAGAGGGGGUGAGAGGGAGAGGGGGGAAAGUCAUACACUCUGUCACACUUCACAUCAUCAUAAAGGCCGGCUCAUCAGCCAGAGCUGCCAAAUGGACACAUAAAGCUAUUCUCUCCUCCAAAACCAAACACACUCUGUCAAAUUUCUCUCUGCUAGUUUAGCCUCCACUUACUCUCAAUUUUCCAGUAAACCACCAAGUAAACAACCUGCCUUCUAAUCAGGGGCAGCUUAGAGCAGAGGGUUAGCAGACAGGUAGAUGGGUCUGAGGUCCAUUUUGCGGCUGGUAAUUAGAUUGAUUAAGGCCGGCUUGGUGCUGCAGACGUGACGACAGGGAGCAGGAAAUGGAGAUGGAUGAGCCUGCCGGGCUGCGGCUGCGAGACAGGAAUGGUAAAUCGAGCUCAUCCCUGCUGGCUGCCUGCGGCGGAGGAAAUAGACUCCCCUCUCCAUGCCCACUCGCAGAUUUACUCCCACCGCAAGGUUACUGGACGCUGGGGUUGUCAGGUUGCCCUUUCUGGAGAGGGAACUGAGGGCAUUAUGUUCCGCUAUGAAUGAUUCAUCCCCCUCUCUGUAUGUGCUCGGACUUGAGAAGGAGGAAACACCGAGGAAGAUGCUCAUGAGGGGGAGGGAGAAUCCAGACAGAGGAGCUAAUGAUAUGCAGAUGUUGGGGAUAGCGCCAUAAAAUCAAGCGACUACAGGAAAAGACUGUAAAAGCCUUCGUAAUUUAACACUGAGUGCAUUUUUAUUCCCUCCAGAGGAUUUAUUGUAAUUAAUAGAAUGACUUGUGUGCUAUUUGUAAUUCAGUUCCUUCAUCUACUCAUCAAUAAAUAAUACAAACACACCUAAUUUCUGCUCGAGCAGGGAACAACCUAAGUCAGGGAGACCUUUAAAACAACAUCCUCUCCCUUUAUCAUAUUUCCUUUGACCUGAAGUAGAUGAAGUGCUUGAUUAUUAGGACCCGCUGAACAAUUAAGUGGGUGAUAAAAUUUAAUUCAUAAAUAAUGUAUCUGUUUAUCGCGGGGAUGCGUUGAUGGUGGUCACAGCGGCACCAGACUGAUGCUGUGGCCUACAUAGAUUCCAUCCAUGAGCCUGUAGAAAACAGCGCUGCCUUCAUGCGCAGAUCUCUGUUAGUGAUAGAUGCUAAGAAAUCUGCAGAAUUGAGUGCUGCAGACAUUUGUGCAUGUGUGUGCACGUCUUCCCCUCCUCUGCUCGCUCUGCUUUUGGUCUGGUCCAGGCCGGUGCUGCCGGUCCUGCCAGGUCUGCGGCACCAGGGCCAGUUUGAUUACAUUUGAAGGAGCGGCCGAAGGGACAGUGAAUUAUUCCUGAGCUGUUAGCUUCACCGUAGCUGCCGAGGAAACAAGGCAGCUCGGCUAAAUUCACCCCUCUGCUGCUGACCUUGGAGGUCAUCGAGAGGAAGGGGACAUUCAUCACUCUGACACGUGAAUACUGCAGGGACAGGAGAAUGAUGAGUGUGUAUGUGUGUGUGUGUGUGUGUGUGAAUUAUUAUCAUUACACUAUAAUUCUUCCAGAUUAAGUAAGACUUACAGCAUGUAACAACAGUUUCUGCAUCAUAUCUUUCAUUAUUGUGUUAGGAAAGUUCCUUUGUGUUAAAUGCUUUUAUUUCCUCGUUAAGUGGUUUGUUAUUUGUGUAUGGACAAACAAUGGAUUUGCAACAAUGCAUCUUCUAAUAUUCUCUUACUUCCUUUUACUUCAGAGAACGUUUUGGUUAUUUCCUACUUGAGCCACUGUCAGGAAGAGGGGGGACAUGUGUUAGUGAGACAGAGCGGGGUAGAAAGGAGGCCGGCCUGAUAUUGAUCUCUGUAUAUUAAAUGAGAUGAGGGUGUGUAAGUACUUCUGACCUGUUUAAAAGCUGUGUAGACAAUGUUAGAACAUUACGACUAGAAAUACAUUUCAAUUAUUGGUGGAGGCAGUAAAACUUUAAAACUAAAAAGUACCCAGAUGGAUUAGAAGCUCCAAACUCCACAACUGGGGUUGCUUCACCACUUUUCUCACUCAAA
rnacentral:lncRNA from 1 species